AGUGAACGCUGGCGGUAGGCCUAACACAUGCAAGUCGAACGGCAGCACAGUAAGAGCUUGCUCUUACGGGUGGCGAGUGGCGGACGGGUGAGGAAUACAUCGGAAUCUACUUUUUCGUGGGGGAUAACGUAGGGAAACUUACGCUAAUACCGCAUACGACCUACGGGUGAAAGCAGGGGAUCUUCGGAUCUUGCGCGAUUGAAUGAGCCGAUGUCGGAUUAGCUAGUUGGCGGGGUAAAGGCCCACCAAGGCGACGAUCCGUAGCUGGUCUGAGAGGAUGAUCGGCCACACUGGAACUGGGACACGGUCCAGACUCCUACGGGAGGCCGCAGUGGGGAAUAUUGGACAAUGGGCGGAAGCCUGGUCCAGCCAUACCGCGUGGGUGAAGAAGGCCUUCGGGUUGUAAAGCCCUUUUGUUGGGAAAGAAAAGCAGCAGGUUAAUACCCCGCUGUUCUGACGGUACCCAAAGAAUAAGCACCGGCUAACUUCGUG
rnacentral:rRNA from 1 species